rnacentral:misc_RNA from 1 species
GAUGAAGAACGUAGCGAAACGCGAAAGGUAAUGCGAAUUGCAGAAUCAGUGAAUCAUCGAAUCUUUGAACGCACAUUGCGCCCCCUGGCAUUCCGGGAGGCAUGCCUGUUCGAGCGUCAUCAAAAACCCAUCAAGCUCGGAUUCAUCCUUGACUUGGUAUUGGCAUUGGAGUGUGCUGGAGCCAUUCCUACCCGAAAGCCUGUGGCAGGGUUGUGCGUGCCGAUGAGUGUAGUAAUCAACGUUAUGUUUCGCUCUCGGACGGAUCAUCUCUAGCCGUAAACCGACCCCCAAUCUCACGUAUUUGACCUCGGAUCAGGUAGGGAUACCCGCUGAACUUAAGCAUAUCAAUAAGCGGAGGA